GAUGAAGAACGUAGCGAAAUGCGAUAAGUAGUGUGAAUUGCAGAAUUCAGUGAAUCAUCGAAUCUUUGAACGCACAUUGCGCCCCUUGGUAUCCCGAGGGGCAUGCCUGUUCGAGCGUCAUUUCACCACUCAAGCCUGGCUUGGUGUUGGGCGACGUCCUCUUUGGGGACGCGCCUCGAAACGCUCGGCGGCGUGGCACCGGCUUUAAGCGUAGCAGAAUCUUUCGCUUUGGAAGUCGGGGCCCCGUCUGCCGAAAGACCUGCUCGCAAGGUUGACCUCGGAUCAGGCAGGGAUACCCGCUGAACUUAAGCAUAUCAAUAAGCGGAGGA
rnacentral:misc_RNA from 1 species